ensembl:lncRNA
GCUGAGACGUGGAUCAGAGUGAAGCUGCGAGACCUGAGGGACGCCAGUAACGUCCAUAGAAGUCCUCUGACCGACUGGGAGGAACUUUCUCAAACCCUCCAGAGAGAUUUGAAGGACUUCGAGAACACCGUCAUUCAGCUCAACCAGGUGAGGACAAACCGUCUUCAUUAGGAGAGUAAAAGAUUGAUGAAUCAUCGUCAGGUUUCAACAGGUCCCUCAGCCAAAAUCAACAAAAGAAGUUCUCCCUUUUGCAAAUAAACGGCAAAACAUUUACAAAUUGUUAUGGUAACAAUCAUAAUUUCUUUUUAAUGUCGACUUGUCAAAACACAAUUCUAACAGCUCAGCUUUGACGAGACCUGCAGAGCCUCAGAAAGCUUUUUGCGAGACGUCCAAAAUCACACAAAAUAUCGAGUCACCCCAUGUUUUUCUUUUCCCAGCACAGAUGCUAAAUUUGUCCUUUUCCCUUCAUGUUGAAAUAGUACAUUGCAAAUAAUUAACCUCUCCUGACACACAUCCCCGGUGGGUUGCAAAACCGGAUCUCCUGUUAGCCUGAGACACGGAGAACGAGGACUUGGCCGGAUUUCAAGCGCGCUGAUAUGAUUAAGCUGUUGUUUUAGUGGGCCGUAGGUCUUUUGUUGCUCAUGUAGCGCUGCUGGAUGUUUGUGCAGAUGGGAGAGCAAUUAAUGUGCAAGCUUAACCCGACGUCUGACCUGGUGAAGAAACAGCUGGCUCAGAUCCGCGACCAAUGGAACGCGCUCAAACAGAUGGCAGCCAAUCACAUCAAGGCGAUGGGCGGGGCUAAGACUCUCCAGGAGUUUAAUAAGAAGGUGGACCGCCUGGAGGCGUGGAUCAAAGAGAAGGAGCAGGAACAAUCGCUGGCCAGCAUCCUUGGGGAAAACGCUGACAAGAUGCAGCUUACCAGGAAGAUACUGGAUUUGAAGCAGGAUGAGCAGCUAUAUCAUAAUCUUCAUGAGGAGAUCAAUCAUAUGGCCCUCAGACUGGAAAAACAGGGGAAGACUGAAGGAAAGACCAUCUCAACCCGCAGGAAACACAUCAACAAAAUGUGGCUGAAGGCUCAGUCGCACUUGAAGGAAUAUCACGAGAAUCUUCAGCUCGCCCUCGAAGUCUCGUCCUUCUACCAGCAGGCCGAUAACAUUGUCUGUUCCAUCAGCAACAUGGUAAUCAUUUUCCUUCGUUGAGCUAUUUCUGUUCAAACCCUACAGGACACACAGUAUCUGUGCCAUUUCUCUUCAACGUGUCCUUUGAUACGAAUAUAACCCGACUGUGUCUGUAUGUUGACAUGCUGAUGUAAUCUAAGAACGUUAUUUACGGUUCGCUCUCCUUUUUUAACUUCUCAUCCAGAAAAAAACCCUCUCAGCGAGCAACGGAGUGGAAAACGCCAGAGACGGGGAAAUUCGGGACAUUGCCAGUCAAAUCAUGGUGCGCGAUCCAAAAUUCACAUCCCAUUAUAGUCACACGAGGAGCAGCGAGCCGUGCUGUGAACACAGUGACCCUAAAGCUGUGUCAAACACCAGCCUGACGCCCGUGUUUGUUUUCCUGUUGUUCUGUGUGGUUUCAGAUGCUGGAUGUGAGCGUUUCCCAGCUCUCCAACCUGCACCCGGCGCUGGCGGCCCGCGUCACACAGAAGCAGAGCGAGGUGAAAGACUGCUGGGCCAUUCUCCAGAAGACUCUCAGGUGACUCAGACUACCAGAGUUAUAAACAACGCUAGUCCUCUCAGUUGGGCUGACCCCAAAUAGUCGAAGAUUCGAUGCUUCGAUAGCAGGAGCCUUAUUCGAUACCAAUUCUACAGUCGAAUAUUCGCGGGGUGUUAUGAUCAUGCCAUUUUGGCUAUAUGAGGGUGCUCAAUGUCUGAUUUCACGUAGAACAACCAGUUUUCUCCCAAUAAGUUAAUAUACAGCCUAUUAUGAUAACGCUGUAAAUAAUAAUCUGAAAAGAAAGAAGCUUUUAAUUCAUUUUUUAUUAAUAAAUAAAUCCAAUUAACCAGUGACAGAUUUGAGUUUCACUUUCCAUAAUCCGUGACUGACAGAGGAGCAUCUUGGCAGCAAGGAUUUAAAUCUUUAACAAGACUCAAAUUGACACAGGCAGAGUGAGGACUGGAUUCUUUUCCCGAUCGAGUAGAGUACAAGUGAUUUCAAAACAUUUCUGCCGGUUCUAAUUUGAUUUUUGGAUGCUGUGAACCCGUGGGUACUCGGGAUCAUAAAAACCGGGCCUGGAUAAAACUAGCUGUAGCUAGUUUUCACAGCAGCUGGCGAUUUUUAGGUGAUCGCAUGAAGUUUUCUGUGGCAGUAGGCUUCAAAAGUCUUCAAAGUCUGAAAAAUUAGCAGGAUAUUUGUUAAUUUCCUCCGUGAAAAUCUCUAUACAGUUAGACUAAACAUGCACAUGGGUUUCUUCGAAAACUCCUUGCAUCUGUUGAUUUCAACUUGUGUGGAUAUUUGGUUUUAUUUAGUGCAAAUCUCUGGUUUCAUCAGCUCUGAUAAGUAAUAACAUGAUAUGUGGCCGGCUGAUGUUAGCUAUACUUUAAUCACAACAUAAAACAUUAUUUAUUCCGUUUGUAUCUGCGAGGUGUCCGUUACACAUUUUCCCUGUGCGUUAACACCAGUAUUUAUGACUGUUAAAUGUCUGACUACUUGACUUUUGGUAAUGUAUUAUUCCCCCUGCCCCAAAACAUAUGAUUCUAUCCUUAGUCGGGGACACCUCUACCUCUCAGGGACAAGAGCCAUUUCCCUCCUUAAUUGGUUCUCCACAGAGCCAAAGGCGCUUUCCACAAUCCUGCUUUUGUUGCAUUUGUAAUAGAGCCAUGCAUGGGCCUCAAAUAUAGGCCCUUGUCCGACAGCUCAUCAGAAUUACACGCCUGAGGCCCCGAGCCCGUCUUUUUUCCCCUUCUCCCAAAACAGCUUACACUACUGU